AGGUGCGAUCCUACCAGCACUAAUGCACCGGAUCCCAUCAGAACGCUGCAGUUAAGCGUGCUUGGGCGAGAGUAGUAUUAGGAUGGGUGACCUCCUAGGAAGUCCUCGUGUUGCACCUC
rnacentral:rRNA from 2 species